rnacentral:lncRNA from 1 species
UCGAUCUGAAGGGUUAGUUUGUAUACACCACAAACUUGCUAGUAUCAUCUUUUUUAUCUUGUCUCUAUCACUUUCAUUCAUAACAUUCCUCAAUGCAAGCUCUUCAUUUAGUUCAAUACGCUUAUAAAUCCAAUAAGGAAAAUAUAUUUCACUAGUACACUCAACUUCAACAUUAACAUUCCUUCUUCCUCCAACCAUUUCAAGUACGAGCAUUCCAAAACUAUAGACAUCUGAUUUGUAAGAGACUACUCCGAUAUUUCUACAGAAUACCUCAGGAGCAAUAUAUCCUAUAGUUCCUCUAGCAACCAACAUGGACACAACACUCUCAUUUCUAGGGCAUAUUUUUGCAAGUCCAAAAUCCGAUAUCUUGGGACAAAACAUCUCAUCCAACAAUAUGUUGUGAGGCUUUAUGUCAAAGUGAAAUAUUCUAGUGUUGCAUCCUCUAUGCAAGUACUCUAGUCCUCGACCGACGCCAAUUGCGAUUUGAUAUAACAUUUCACAAUUCAAUUGGCAAUCAGCUGUCAAGUUGUUAGUCUCAUAUAUAAACUUCUCUAGAGAUCCAUUAGCCAUAUACUCAUAGAUCAGAGCCUUUUUGGAUUCUUCAGAACAAAAUCCUAUAAGAGUGACAAUGUUCACAUGAGAAGUCUUGCUAAUACUUGCUACCUCAUUGAUAAAUUCUUCUCCAUUGCCUUUCAGUUCACUCAGAAUCUUAACAGCAACUAAAGAUCCAUCUUCUAACUUCCCUUUGAAAACACUUCCAUAGCCUCCUUGGCCUAACUUUUCUUUGAAAGAAUUGGUCAUUUUCUUUAUUUCCAUGUAGCUAUAUCUUCUUACUGCAAUUGGUCCAUAAUUCUUGAGGAAGGUCUCAAAAUCUUGAUUAACUCUAGAUUUCUUCUUCCAGAAUCUACACAAUAGUUUUCUUCUAAAGCAGUAGAUUAUAAUAACUACAAGUCCAAAUCCCGCAGCUGCAGAAACUGUAAUCGGUGAAAUUGGAUGAGAUAGUGAUCUGUUGAAUUAGUCUUAACUAUCUUUUUUAUUUAUUCUAGUAUUUGUGAUACCAUCCAUGUUCAUGCACAUUUAAUUAAAACCUUCAUUAUAUAAUGUUUACAACUAUCCUUACUCUGCUUCAGGCAUUUCUCAUGCUUGUCACUUUUAUGUAUCUCUUAUUUCAUAUAAAGUAAUAUUCGACUAUAAUAAAAAGUGGAAAAGUAAAUUAGACUUGAUAUAACUUAGCAUAAAGUGUUACUUGAGCAAAAUUUAUCACCUGUUGCUAGUAUGACAACCGGUUUUCCAGAUUCCUCUGCAGAAUAAGCAAUGAAUUAGUUAAUCAUGUAUCUGUUCAAGGCUGGAGGUCGCUCAAACAAACUCACUACUAGUGAAUCUCUUAAUAAAUCAAGCUUGUAAGGUUUAUAUUUCUCGCUUAAUCGUCUUAAAACUUCGAAUGAUGUUCAUCAUCUAGAUGUUAUCUUCUUAUAUGUUAUUUUGAAAACAGUAUCUCUUCGGUUGCGAAAGUAAGGUUGUAUACAUCUACUCCUAU